ACGAGGAGGAGGACGAGGAAGACGAUGAGUAAUACGUGGACGACGAGGACAAGGAUUUGUGUUCGCAGUGGCACGAGGCUCAAACCUCCCGGCAGUCUCAGCCGGCUUUGGACACGCUUCUAGCUAGGACGAGGGCGGCUAAGGCGAAAGAGGCCGGACAGACGGAGCUCGAAGCGCCGUCUGAGAAGCGGAAGUCGAGCUCGAGUGAGGAAGAGGAGCAGGAUGAUAAACCCACUCUUUUGUUGGUCGAUGAUGUGACGACGAAGGAACAAAAAGCCGGCUUCGUUCUUAACGUGGAUGAUAAAAAUCAGUGCGGUGACAAAGAAGGUUGUCCUAACGUGUCGCGAAUAGACGAAGAGGACAAGCCGGGUGAUUCGGUUAAAUCAAAGACUGUGGCAACUAAUAUUACGACCUUAUCUUCCACCGCUGUUUGCGGCACGACGACAACAACUACGACAACCACGACAACCGCAAGCAGCUGUUUUAGUCAGAUACGUUGUUCGCUGACCAAUGUAUCGUGGCUUGAAAUGCUUGAGAAAACAAUCGUUGACCUACAAAUGAUUGUGCAAUUGCAAAUUAAGAACAAUUAAUUAACAGUAAUAAUUAUAUUUAAAAAAGACUGGUUUUUGUGCAGAUGCUCUUGCCGGCAGUUUGGUUGUUGAAAAAAUACGCGUCAUGCAUUUAAUCUGGGGUUUUUAUAUUUCAUCAAUUGUUGGUUUUCCACUGUGUAUAGAAUUCUGCAGAUGAUUUUUCAAAACAGAAAUCAUAUAUUUGUUCUUUUUCUUCUUGGCAUAAUAUCCAUUCUGUUCAAAUUAUUAUCAACUUUACUAUUAUAACAAGCAUCGGUUGCUAUUAUAUGGAACGGGAAUCUUCGAAAAGCAAUAACAUACAGAAAGAGUCAUAAAGACGAAAAUGUGUAAAGUUAUGUUCUUACUAUAUAUCUACAUAUAUGCUAACGAAUGUAUUAAUUAUUAUGCAUAAUGUAUAGUUUGGAGGUACAUAAGUUGAGAAAAAGGUCUUGAUUUUAAAGUUUAUGUAUUAUAUAUUAUGUUAUAGCUCAAUGAUCCUUAGAUCUCUAUGUAUUAUACAAUCAUAAGAAUAAUGAUGAAAAUAAAAAAGGAAAAUAAUA
rnacentral:lncRNA from 1 species